rnacentral:rRNA from 1 species
GGGUUGUGAGGUUAAGCGACUAAGCGUACACGGUGGAUGCCCUGGCAGUCAGAGGCGAUGAAGGACGUGCUAAUCUGCGAUAAGCGUCGGUAAGGUGAUAUGAACCGUUAUAACCGGCGAUUUCCGAAUGGGGAAACCCAGUGUGAUUCGUCACACUAUCAUUAACUGAAUCCAUAGGUUAAUGAGGCGAACCGGGGGAACUGAAACAUCUAAGUACCCCGAGGAAAAGAAAUCAACCGAGAUUCCCCCAGUAGCGGCGAGCGAACGGGGAGCAGCCCAGAGCCUGAAUCAGUGUGUGUGUUAGUGGAAGCGUCUGGAAAGGCGCGCGAUACAGGGUGACAGCCCCGUACACAAAAAUGCACAUACUGUGAGCUCGAUGAGUAGGGCGGGACACGUGGUAUCCUGUCUGAAUAUGGGGGGACCAUCCUCCAAGGCUAAAUACUCCUGACUGACCGAUAGUGAACCAGUACCGUGAGGGAAAGGCGAAAAGAACCCCGGCGAGGGGAGUGAAAAAGAACCUGAAACCGUGUACGUACAAGCAGUGGGAGCACAGAGCAAUCUGUGUGACUGCGUACCUUUUGUAUAAUGGGUCAGCGACUUAUAUUCUGUAGCAAGGUUAACCGAAUAGGGGAGCCGAAGGGAAACCGAGUCUUAACUGGGCGUUAAGUUGCAGGGUAUAGACCCGAAACCCGGUGAUCUAGCCAUGGGCAGGUUGAAGGUUGGGUAACACUAACUGGAGGACCGAACCGACUAAUGUUGAAAAAUUAGCGGAUGACUUGUGGCUGGGGGUGAAAGGCCAAUCAAACCGGGAGAUAGCUGGUUCUCCCCGAAAGCUAUUUAGGUAGCGCCUCGUGAAUUCAUCUCCGGGGGUAGAGCACUGUUUCGGCAAGGGGGUCAUCCCGACUUACCAACCCGAUGCAAACUGCGAAUACCGGAGAAUGUUAUCACGGGAGACACACGGCGGGUGCUAACGUCCGUCGUGAAGAGGGAAACAACCCAGACCGCCAGCUAAGGUCCCAAAGUCAUGGUUAAGUGGGAAACGAUGUGGGAAGGCCCAGACAGCCAGGAUGUUGGCUUAGAAGCAGCCAUCAUUUAAAGAAAGCGUAAUAGCUCACUGGUCGAGUCGGCCUGCGCGGAAGAUGUAACGGGGCUAAACCAUGCACCGAAGCUGCGGCAGCGACGCUGAUGCGUUGUUGGGUAGGGGAGCGUUCUGUAAGCCUGUGAAGGUGUGCUGUGAGGCAUGCUGGAGGUAUCAGAAGUGCGAAUGCUGACAUAAGUAACGAUAAAGCGGGUGAAAAGCCCGCUCGCCGGAAGACCAAGGGUUCCUGUCCAACGUUAAUCGGGGCAGGGUGAGUCGACCCCUAAGGCGAGGCCGAAAGGCGUAGUCGAUGGGAAACAGGUUAAUAUUCCUGUACUUGGUGUUACUGCGAAGGGGGGACGGAGAAGGCUAUGUUGGCCGGGCGACGGUUGUCCCGGUUUAAGCGUGUAGGCUGGUUUUCCAGGCAAAUCCGGAAAAUCAAGGCUGAGGCGUGAUGACGAGGCACUACGGUGCUGAAGCAACAAAUGCCCUGCUUCCAGGAAAAGCCUCUAAGCAUCAGGUAACAUCAAAUCGUACCCCAAACCGACACAGGUGGUCAGGUAGAGAAUACCAAGGCGCUUGAGAGAACUCGGGUGAAGGAACUAGGCAAAAUGGUGCCGUAACUUCGGGAGAAGGCACGCUGAUAUGUAGGUGAAGUCCCUCGCGGAUGGAGCUGAAAUCAGUCGAAGAUACCAGCUGGCUGCAACUGUUUAUUAAAAACACAGCACUGUGCAAACACGAAAGUGGACGUAUACGGUGUGACGCCUGCCCGGUGCCGGAAGGUUAAUUGAUGGGGUUAGCGCAAGCGAAGCUCUUGAUCGAAGCCCCGGUAAACGGCGGCCGUAACUAUAACGGUCCUAAGGUAGCGAAAUUCCUUGUCGGGUAAGUUCCGACCUGCACGAAUGGCGUAAUGAUGGCCAGGCUGUCUCCACCCGAGACUCAGUGAAAUUGAACUCGCUGUGAAGAUGCAGUGUACCCGCGGCAAGACGGAAAGACCCCGUGAACCUUUACUAUAGCUUGACACUGAACAUUGAGCCUUGAUGUGUAGGAUAGGUGGGAGGCUUUGAAGUGUGGACGCCAGUCUGCAUGGAGCCGACCUUGAAAUACCACCCUUUAAUGUUUGAUGUUCUAACGUUGACCCGUGAUCCGGGUUGCGGACAGUGUCUGGUGGGUAGUUUGACUGGGGCGGUCUCCUCCUAAAGAGUAACGGAGGAGCACGAAGGUUGGCUAAUCCUGGUCGGACAUCAGGAGGUUAGUGCAAUGGCAUAAGCCAGCUUGACUGCGAGCGUGACGGCGCGAGCAGGUGCGAAAGCAGGUCAUAGUGAUCCGGUGGUUCUGAAUGGAAGGGCCAUCGCUCAACGGAUAAAAGGUACUCCGGGGAUAACAGGCUGAUACCGCCCAAGAGUUCAUAUCGACGGCGGUGUUUGGCACCUCGAUGUCGGCUCAUCACAUCCUGGGGCUGAAGUAGGUCCCAAGGGUAUGGCUGUUCGCCAUUUAAAGUGGUACGCGAGCUGGGUUUAGAACGUCGUGAGACAGUUCGGUCCCUAUCUGCCGUGGGCGCUGGAGAACUGAGGGGGGCUGCUCCUAGUACGAGAGGACCGGAGUGGACGCAUCACUGGUGUUCGGGUUGUCAUGCCAAUGGCACUGCCCGGUAGCUAAAUGCGGAAGAGAUAAGUGCUGAAAGCAUCUAAGCACGAAACUUGCCCCGAGAUGAGUGCUCCCUGACCCUUUAAGGGUCCUGAAGGAAAGUUGAAGACGACGACGUUGAUAGGCCGGGUGUGUAAGCGCAGCGAUGCGUUGAGCUAACCGG